CUGGUGGUAGUGUGACCCUUCUUCUGUACCAUAAACCUAAGAAACACUCACUUGACAAGGCUUUCGCGAGAGUUUCAGGCAUUUCGAGGGGUAGUUUUAUGGCCCUGGUGGUAGUGUGACCUUAUAUCUGUACCAUGAACUUAAAAAAACGCACAUUUGACAAGGCUUUCGCAGGGGUAGUUUUAUGACCCGAGUGGUAGUUUGACACUUCUUCUGUACCAUAAACCUAAGAAACACACACUUGACAAGGCUUUCGUAGGAAUUUCGGGCAUUUCCAGGGGUAGUUUUAUGAGUGUGGUGGUAGUGUGACCCUUCUUCUGUAUCAUGAGUCUAAGAAACGCUUAUUUGACAAGGCUUUCCCUAUGAAAACCCGGUUAAUCCUCUCUGUGACCUUAGGAAAUAGUGGUUCAAGAAGUUGCUGGGAUUUUCAUGGACAGUUUUAUGAUCCCAGAGAUAAUUUGACACGACUUCUGCACUUUGAACGGGAAAAUGACCCAUGAAAACCCAGUUAAUCCUCUCUGUGGCCGUGGGAAAUAGUCGUAUAAUGGGAUCCCGAGACGUUUAAGAAUAUGAAAAAGUAAAUCCGUUUUGGCGAAAUUCACAUACACAAAAAAAUAGUGAAAAAAACAAAAGCUGGCGGCGAUGCGAAAGCUAAUACGUAUCACUAUUAACCUCAUCAUCAUCAUCAUCAUCAUCAUUGUCAUUAUUAUUAAUGAAGAAAGACUUAGUUAUGUAGCUAAUACUUGUCGGUGUGAAGUAGGAAGGUAUUAUUGUCAUUAUUGUUAUUAUUAUUAUUGUUAUUAUUAUUAUGAGUGAGAGGAAGAUAUGAAGAGGUGAGGGAAUAAGAAAGGAAGGAAGGAAGGAAGGAAGGAAGGAAGGAAGGAAGGAAAAGAACGAGUAUUAUAUUAUUAUUUGGUAAGAUGGAAGGAAGGAAAGAAGAAAAGAAAUAAAGAAUGAAGGAAGAAAGGAAGGAAGAAAGAAACGAAAGAAAAAGGGAAGGAAGGAUGAAAGUAAAGAAAAAAUAAUAAAAAAGAUAGGAGAGAAAUGAAGAAAGAAAAAGAAAGAAAGGAAAAUCGUUCAGCUGAGUAUUCGCAUGAAUUAUUACAGAGAAAAACAAGAGAGGAAAAUAAAAGGAAAUGAAAGAAUGAGGAAAAAAAGAAAAUCAAAGGAAAGUAAAAGAAACAAACAGAAAAGAAGAAAAGAACGAACGAAAGAAAAACAUAGAAAAAAAGGAAGGAAAAAUAUAUAUAUAAAAAAUAGAAAAAUAAAAAUGAAAAUGAAAAAAAAGGAAAAAGAAGAAAACAAAACCAAAAAGGAUAAAAAAGCAGAAAAAGGAAAAAAUGAAGGAAAACAAGAAAAAAAAACAAAGAAAAGAGGAAAAAAACAUUAAAAGUGAGAGAAUAUAGGAGAAAAAUUGAUUGGGGGAAGGGGGCGGGACCUAUUCGCCUAGCUAUCGUGAACGGGGUAUGGAAGAAAAUUUGUUGUGAAAGCGAAAAAAUAAAUAAAGAAAAAGAAAAAAAAGGAAAUAAAACAAUGGAAGUGAAAGAAAUUAGAAGAAAAUAUGAUAGGAGGAAGGGGCGGGACCUAUUCGCCUAGCUAUCGUGAACCGGGUAUAGAAGAAAAAUUGUAGUGAAAGCGAAAAAAUAAAGAAAGAAAAAGAAAAAAGGAAAAAAACAAUAAAAGUGAAAGAAAUAGAAGAAAAAAUGAUUGGGGAAAGGGGGCGGGACCUAUUCGCCUAGUUAUCGUGAACGGGGGUAUGGAAGAAAAAUUGAAGAGAAAGAAAAGGAAAGAAAAAAAAAAGAAAAAAAAAGAAAGAAAAUUACAAAAUCGAGUAUUCUAAAUAAUAUUAUGGCACAAGCUUCACAUCUAACACAAUCAAAUUAAAUAAAAACACAAUAAAACAGACAAAACAAACAUCAACACAUAUUUCCCAAAGUCUUUUCUCGUCACUACGAACACAAUCUUGCAACGGAGGCGUAAGAUUAACAAUAAUAAUAUCCGACUAUACUCCGUUCACGAUAACUAGGCGAAUAAGCCCCGCCCCCUCCCCCAAUCAACGCAUCCCAUUGGCUAGCUCACGGAUAAGCCAUGCCUACCCCCGUCUUAGGCUGCGUGUGAUUGGUGGAUGCUGGGAAAGGGCUAAAUCUUAUUGGUGGAUUCUGGGAAAGGUUGAAUCUUAUUGGUGGAUGCUGGGAAGAGUUGAAUCUUAUUGGUGGAUGCUGGGGAAGGUUGAAUCUCACUGGUGGAUGCUGGGAAGGGUUGAAUCUUAUUGGUGGAUGCUGGGAAGGGUUGAAUCUUAUUGGUGGAUGCUGGGAAGGGUUGAAUCUUAUUGGUGGAUACUGGGAAAGGUUGAAUCUUAUUGGUGGAUGCUGGGAAGGGUUGAAUCUUAUUGGUGGAUGCUGGGAAGGGUUGACUCUUAUUGGUGGAUGCUGGGAAGGGUUAAAUCUCACUGAUGGAUGCUGGGAAAGGUUGAAUCUUAUUGGUGGAUGCUGGGGAAGGUUGAAUCUUAUUGGUGGAUGCUGGGAAGGGUUAAAUCUCACUAAUGGAUGCUGGAAAGGGUUGAAUCUCACUGGUGGAUGCUGAGAAGGGUUGACUCUUAUUGGUGGAUGCUGGGAAGGGUUGAAUCUCACUGGUGGAUGCUGGGAAGGGUUGAAUCUUAUUGAUGGAUGCUGGGAAAGAUGUCGUAUUAUUAUUAUAAAAGAGGACGAGUCCAUUACAGCCCCGGGGGAGUCCACUACGGUUGAUUCUGUGCUAGUGGGCGGGGCUUACUGGCGGAGAUAUCGUGAACAGGGUAUGAUAGGCUAGACUAAGAUAGGUUUACGAAAAUAAUAAUAAUAAUAAAAAGAAAGGCAACGACAUUCUCCAUAUUAGACUAUAAUCUUAAUUCUAUUUUUAAUCGUCUUGAGAAUGGUCCAGGUUAAUUGUCUCGAGGAGGUGAAGAAGAGGAGGAGGAGGAGGAGGAGGAGGAGGAAGGACUGACGGACUGACUGACUGAUUUCUUUUCUAUUAAGGCACUUUACUUAUAAUACUUACAAACAUACAUACAUACAUACAUACGUACGUAGGCCUACAUACAUACAUACAAACAUACAUAGACCUAUUUUUUCUGUUUUUUCUUGCUAAUAAACUGAUUUUUUUUUCCGUAUCUCAUUCUCGUAUAUACCAAUUCUCUCUCUCUCUCUCUCUCUCUCUCUCUCUCUCUCUCUCUCUCUCUCUCUCUCUCUCUC